GAGUCGACCCCUAAGGCGAGGCCGAAAGGCGUAGUCGAUGGGAAACAGGUUAAUAUUCCUGUACUUGGUGUUACUGCGAAGGGGGGACGGAGAAGGCUAUGUUGGCCGGGCGACGGUUGUCCCGGUUUAAGCGUGUAGGCUGGUUUUCCAGGCAAAUCCGGAAAACCAAGGCUGAGGCGUGAUGACGAGGCACUACGGUGCUGAAGCGACAAAUGCCCUGCUUCCAGGAAAAGCCUCUAAGCAUCAGGUAACAUCAAAUCGUACCCCAAACCGACACAGGUGGUCAGGUAGAGAAUACCAAGGCGCUUGAGAGAACUCGGGUGAAGGAACUAGGCAAAAUGGUGCCGUAACUUCGGGAGAAGGCACGCUGAUAUGUAGGUGAAGCGACUUGCUCGUGGAGCUGAAAUCAGUCGAAGAUACCAGCUGGCUGCAACUGUUUAUUAAAAACACAGCACUGUGCAAACACGAAAGUGGACGUAUACGGUGUGACGCCUGCCCGGUGCCGGAAGGUUAAUUGAUGGGGUUAGCGGUAACGCGAAGCUCUUGAUCGAAGCCCCGGUAAACGGCGGCCGUAACUAUAACGGUCCUAAGGUAGCGAAAUUCCUUGUCGGGUAAGUUCCGACCUGCACGAAUGGCGUAAUGAUGGCCAGGCUGUCUCCACCCGAGACUCAGUGAAAUUGAACUCGCUGUGAAGAUGCAGUGUACCCGCGGCAAGACGGAAAGACCCCGUGAACCUUUACUAUAGCUUGACACUGAACAUUGAGCCUUGAUGUGUAGGAUAGGUGGGAGGCUUUGAAGUGUGGACGCCAGUCUGCAUGGAGCCGACCUUGAAAUACCACCCUUUAAUGUUUGAUGUUCUAACGUUGGCCCGUAAUCCGGGUUGCGGACAGUGUCUGGUGGGUAGUUUGACUGGGGCGGUCUCCUCCUAAAGAGUAACGGAGGAGCACGAAGGUUGGCUAAUCCUGGUCGGACAUCAGGAGGUUAGUGCAAUGGCAUAAGCCAGCUUGACUGCGAGCGUGACGGCGCGAGCAGGUGCGAAAGCAGGUCAUAGUGAUCCGGUGGUUCUGAAUGGAAGGGCCAUCGCUCAACGGAUAAAAGGUACUCCGGGGAUAACAGGCUGAUACCGCCCAAGAGUUCAUAUCGACGGCGGUGUUUGGCACCUCGAUGUCGGCUCAUCACAUCCUGGGGCUGAAGUAGGUCCCAAGGGUAUGGCUGUUCGCCAUUUAAAGUGGUACGCGAGCUGGGUUUAGAACGUCGUGAGACAGUUCGGUCCCUAUCUGCCGUGGGCGCUGGAGAACUGAGGGGGGCUGCUCCUAGUACGAGAGGACCGGAGUGGACGCAUCACUGGUGUUCGGGUUGUCAUGCCAAUGGCACUGCCCGGUAGCUAAAUGCGGAAGAGAUAAGUGCUGAAAGCAUCUAAGCACGAAACUUGC
rnacentral:rRNA from 1 species